UGCGUUGAAAAGGCGAGAGUGAAAGGCCAGAAUUGUCACCGAUUAUACUGGUUUUCAACGAGUUUGUUUGGUGAAGUAGUAAGAGACAUUUCGUAGUUCAUUUGACGGGAUAUCUUCAGAAUUCCUUGUUCAAGUGGACACAAAUUUCCUUUCAGAGCAAUGCAAUUUGUGCAAGAUGCUGAGUUAUCAGGAAAACGAAAGGUCGACCACUAGGUCUGACUCGUGAUUUUAUUUACCGAUCUCGGAUUUGAUAACUGAGCUUUAUUUUGACCGUGCUGUGCUGUUCUGAUCUAAAGCAGAGAAGCACUGAAGUUGGUAUAUUUGCUGCAGCGACCAUCUGUCCUUUUUAAAGAUCUCAAACUGGAUUUACAGGGUCGGUUUUGUUCAGCUGCAUGUGUUGUUGACCGCUUCAUUCUCUGUUGUUGAUUAAGAACCUGUGACAGGUAAGCGUGUGUUUUUAGUCUUGUCAACCUUCAGAAUGUCUUACUUCAGACCUUUGCAAUGUUCCAAACGUGCUUCAUUGUGUAGCAUUUUACCUCGCUAAUUGUAAUUAUCCCUUAAUGUGUUUUUGUGCGCAGUCAGCAUCGGCGUUCCAGAAUGUACUUGUUUCAGCUCAUUACUGUGUUAAAAACACUUGGCAUGGUCGGUAAUUUGGCUCAAUGCAUUUUCAAAAUUUCCGUUCGCUAAUGUAUAUAUCUAUUUUUUUAUUUUGGCGCAGUUAUUGAUUAGAAUUUGUUUCAACGCAAUAAUAUUGCAGGGCUUUCGGCGUAUCUUAUCAAGCUGUACAUAAUCCCAUGUUUGACACCUGUAUAGAGGAGUGGUCUUAAUUUUAAGAGGAGGGUUAUCGUCCGAUUGUAACUUCAAGAGUUUUAAUGUAGUAUUUCCACAUAUUUUACCCAGUUGUUCAAACUUUUCGCGGUAUUCAUGUUAAAGAUGUUUUUGUAUUGGAUCUUUUUUAGCGAAUUUGAUAUAUUUUA